AGUGAACGCUGACGGUAGGCCUAACACAUGCAAGUCGAACGGCAGCACAGUAAGAGCUUGCUCUUACGGGUGGCGAGUGGCGGACGGGUGAGGAAUACAUCGGAAUCUACUUUUUCGUGGGGGAUAACGUAGGGAAACUUACGCUAAUACCGCAUACGACCUACGGGUGAAAGCAGGGGAUCUUCGGACCUUGCGCGAUUGAAUGAGCCGAUGUCGGAUUAGCUAGUUGGCGGGGUAAAGGCCCACCAAGGCGACGAUCCGUAGCUGGUCUGAGAGGAUGAUCAGCCACACUGGAACUGAGACACGGUCCAGACUCCUACGGGAGGCAGCAGUGGGGAAUAUUGGACAAUGGGCGCAAGCCUGAUCCAGCCAUACCGCGUGGAUGAAGAAGGCCUUCGGGUUGUAAAGCCCUUUUGUUGGGAAAGAAAAGCAGCAGGUUAAUACCCCGCUGUUCUGACGGUACCCAAAGAAUAAGCACCGGCUAACUUCGUG
rnacentral:rRNA from 1 species